rnacentral:rRNA from 1 species
UACGUAGGGCGCAAGCGUUGUUCGGAAUUAUUGGGCGUAAAGAGCUCGUAGGCGGCUUGUCACGUCGGAUGUGAAAGCCCGGGGCUUAACUCCGGGUCUGCAUUCGAUACGGGCUAGCUAGAGUGUGGUAGGGGAGAUCGGAAUUCCUGGUGUAGCGGUGAAAUGCGCAGAUAUCAGGAGGAACACCGGUGGCGAAGGCGGAUCUCUGGGCCAUUACUGACGCUGAGGAGCGAAAGCGUGGGGAGCGAACAGG